AAGACUAUAGACCUGCGGAGUACCUGCGGAGGGAUCAUUAGAAAUGCUAUUGUUUUUUUCUCUUCUCGAGGAAAACACAUCAUUUCCUGACUUUUUCGCUGCCAUGAUGCUUUUUCCUUUUUCUUUUCUCAAAGAAAAGGGGGGGGCCGCCUGGCGCGUUAAGUCGGAUUCUUUUUUUCAGCAGAAUUUUUUAGCUUUCUUUUGAGGGCUAAUCUUUUGUUGGAAAUUUCAAUCUACACC
rnacentral:misc_RNA from 1 species